AUUGAACGCUGGCGGCAGGCCUAACACAUGCAAGUCGAGCGGAUGAAGGGAGCUUGCUCCUGGAUUCAGCGGCGGACGGGUGAGUAUUGCCUAGGAAUCUGCCUGGUAGUGGGGGAUAACGUCCGGAAACGGGCGCUAAUACCGCAUACGUCCUGAGGGAGAAAGUGGGGGAUCUUCGGACCUCACGCUAUCAGAUGAGCCUAGGUCGGAUUAGCUAGUUGGUGGGGUAAAGGCCUACCAAGGCGACGAUCCGUAACUGGUCUGAGAGGAUGAUCAGUCACACUGGAACUGAGACACGGUCCAGACUCCUACGGGAGGCAGCAGUGGGGAAUAUUGGACAAUGGGCGAAAGCCUGAUCCAGCCAUGCCGCGUGUGUGAAGAAGGUCUUCGGAUUGUAAAGCACUUUAAGUGGGGAGGAAGGGCAGUAAGUUAAUACCUUGCUGUUUUGACGGUACCAACAGAAUAAGCACCGGCUAACUUCGUG
rnacentral:rRNA from 1 species